ensembl:lincRNA 4930594O21Rik RIKEN cDNA 4930594O21 gene
UGUGGUGGACUGACUUCUCCCGUGGUAGACUGUCCCCUCGGGCUGUGAGCCAGGACAAAUCCUUUAGACAGGGCCAGAUCAAUUGUCCUGAUCACUGAUAACUGCUCUCAGGUCGUCUGCAUCUCCUGGGAGGAUCGCUGUUCCUACAGAACUCACCACGGAACUCGAACUUACCAGAUCCAAACCACCUGUCCGGUCAAUUCCCUGCUCAGCUCCCAGAUGCCCGCCCUCUUCUCAUUUCCUCUGGCAUGUCAGGCCUCCAUCACCCGGUGCACGGCUACUUCAGCAACCUCCAGCGCUCUUCCUUUUAAUCCAGCCUGUGAUCAGGAAUUACGACAUGCCCAGCCUGCAUACUGCCUGAGACAUGGCUAUGAGCUCGCCACCCUCCCUGAACCUGUGUCCAUCUGACCUGGUGGCCAUCUCUUCUGAUGACCAGUUCCACCCAAGAAUUCUGCUACAAACCUCUCAAGUUUGAGGGGUACAAGAAGCACCCCCCACCCCCCAACACACGCACACUUUGGUUCAACUAGCUGUGAAUCCUGGAGUCCCCAUGUUUCUGACAAUGCUUUGAUUUUUUUUUUUUUUCAUCAGCACAAAACUGAAGGGAGAGAUAUGCAGAAUAAAGCCCUACCUGGG